CGGGUAUUGUAAAGUUUCUAAGCUGCAAGGUCUGAGUUAAAAUGUAAAGGAUUAGGUAUUGUUAGGUUUCUAUGCUACCUGCAAAACCUGAAAUUUCUGUAGCUGUUAAGACAAUGCUUGGAACCACCCAGUAAAUAUUUCCCCUGACUGCUUGGUUGUUUAAUAACUGAAGGGCUCUGUGUGGUCGCACGUAGGCAUCGCAGGGCCUAAACCAAUCAGUUUGAAUGUGUACCCCACUUUAGAACUGACCUAUCACCCCCGCCCGACCUGUUCCCGCCAAUGAAUGAACUAAUCAUGUUUAG
rnacentral:lncRNA from 1 species